UACGUAGGGAGCAAGCGUUGUCCGGAAUCAUUGGGCGUAAAGCGCGCGUAGGCGGCCUCGUAAGUCCGUUGUGAAAGUCAAAGGCUCAACCUUUGAAAGCCGAUGGAUACUGUGAGGCUAGAGUCCGGAAGAGGCGAGUGGAAUUCCUGGUGUAGCGGUGAAAUGCGCAGAUAUCAGGAGGAACACCUAUUGCGAAGGCAGCUCGCUGGGACGUUACUGACGCUGAGACGCGAAAGCGUGGGGAGCAAACAGG
rnacentral:rRNA from 1 species